rnacentral:rRNA from 1 species
AACGCUAGCUACAGGCUUAACACAUGCAAGUCGUGGGGCAGCAUGGGAGAUGCUUGCAUUUCCCGAUGGCGACCGGCGCACGGGUGAGUAACGCGUAUCCAACCUGCCCUUCACUCCGGCACAGCCCGUCGAAAGACGGAUUAAUGCGGGAUGCAGUCAGAAAGAUGCAUAUUAAUUUGACGAAAGGCUUUAUGCCGGUGAGGGAUGGGGAUGCGUCCGAUUAGCUUGACGGCGGGGUAACGGCCCACCGUGGCGACGAUCGGUAGGGGUUCUGAGAGGAAGGUCCCCCACAUUGGAACUGAGACACGGUCCAAACUCCUACGGGAGGCAGCAGUGAGGAAUAUUGGUCAAUGGGCGGAAGCCUGAACCAGCCAAGUAGCGUGCAGGAAGACGGCCCUAUGGGUUGUAAACUGCUUUUGUGCGGGAAUAAAGCGGGUCACGUGUGGCCCUUUGCAUGUACCGUACGAAUAAGGACCGGCUAAUUCCGUGCCAGCAGCCGCGGUAAUACGGAAGGUCCGGGCGUUAUCCGGAUUUAUUGGGUUUAAAGGGAGCGUAGGCCGUCUCAAAAGCGUGUUGUGAAAUGUCCGGGCUCAACCGGGGCCGUGCAGCGCGAACUGUGAGACUUGAGUGUGCGGAAGGUAUGCGGAAUUCGUGGUGUAGCGGUGAAAUGCAUAGAUAUCACGAAGAACUCCGAUUG